GGUUGAUUUCUAAACGAAAUAUUGUGUUGCUAUACAAAAUGACACUUUAAAAUCAGUUUUUCAAUCACUUACAACCUGAAAAGAUUCUCUUUUUCUAAUUCACGUCACUCAGUACUAUGUACAUUUACUUGACUUACACAGAACACUUUAUCAAUCUUUGAUACCUGUAUCAGGCUACCUGCCGUUCCCACAGACAUUGGUAUUAGAAUGUUAGCAUUGAAAUUAAAAGAAUGGACAAAGAGG
rnacentral:lncRNA from 1 species